GACGAACGCUGGCGGCGUGCUUAACACAUGCAAGUCGAACGGAAAGGCCCUUCUUUUGUGGGGUGCUCGAGUGGCGAACGGGUGAGUAACACGUGAGUAACCUGCCCUUGACUUUGGGAUAACUUCAGUAAACUGGGGCUAAUACCGGAUAGGAGCUCCUGCUGCAUGGUGGGGGUUGGAAAGUUUCGGCGGUUGGGGAUGGACUCGCGGCUUAUCAGCUUGUUGGUGGGGUAGUGGCUUACCAAGGCUUUGACGGGUAGCCGGCCUGAGAGGGUGACCGGUCACAUUGGGACUGAGAUACGGCCCAGACUCCUACGGGAGGCAGCAGUGGGGAAUAUUGCACAAUGGGCGGAAGCCUGAUGCAGCAACGCCGCGUGCGGGAUGACGGCCUUCGGGUUGUAAACCGCUUUCGCCUGUGACGAAGCGUGAGUGACGGUAAUGGGUAAAGAAGCACCGGCUAACUACGUG
rnacentral:rRNA from 1 species